rnacentral:rRNA from 1 species
UUUCGCAAUGCCCGAAAGGGUGACGAAGCGACGCCGCGUGAGUGAGGAAGGCCUUCGGGUUGUAAAGCUCUGUCAGGAGUUAAGAAAUAUAAGUGUGCUAAUACCACAUUUAUUUGACAAAAGCUCCAAAGGAAGCCACGGCUAACUCUGUGCCAGCAGCCGCGGUAAUACAGAGGUGGCAAGCGUUGUUCGGAAUUAUUGGGCGUAAAGAGCACGUAGGUGGGUUUGUAAGUCAGAUGUGAAAGCCUUCUGUUCAACGGAAGAAUUGCAUCAGAAACUGCGAGUCUUGAGUGUAGGAGGGGAGAAUGGAACUUCUGGUGGAGCGGUGAAAUGCGUAGAUAUCAGAAGGAACGCCGGCGGCGAAAGCGAUUCUCUGGCCUAUUACUGACACUCAGUGUGCGAAAGCUAGGGGAGCAAACGGGAUUAGAUACCCCGGUAGUCCUAGCUGUAAACGAUGGGCACUAAGUAGAGGGGUUUUA